GACGUAUUAAAAAAAACUACUUACUAGAUCUCGUUCAAACCAAUUUUCGGUGGAAGUUUACACGGUAAUGUACAUCAUAUAUUUUUUUUAGUUUUAUCAUUCUGUUAUUUUAGAAGUUACAGGGGGGGGGGGGGACACACAUUUUACCACUUUGGAAGUGUCUCUCGCGCAAACUAUUCAGUUUAAAAAAAAUGAUAUUAGAAACCUCAAUAUCAUUUUUGAAGACCUAUCCAUAGAUACCCCACACGUAUAGGUUUGAUGAAAAAAAAAAUUUUGAGCGAUUUAUGACGUAUUAAAAAAAAAAACUACUUACUAGAUCUCGUUCAAACCAAUUUUCGGUGGAAGUUUACAUGGUAAUGUACAUCAUAUAUUUUUUUUAGUUUUAUCAU